rnacentral:ncRNA from 1 species
UUACAUUUCAAAUUUAAAGUCUAUAACUUCAUUUCUUAAUUUGUUACAUACCUUGUUGGUGUGAGUUUUUGUCUAGUUUUACUAGUAAGAGUGACUUGUGCAUAAGUCUGUGUUUUUAUUAAAUAGUAGUGUUUAUUUACUUUGUAACUAACUUCGCAUAACGUAUAUUAUGUUAAAUAGAUAAGGUGAAAAUGUCACUUUUAAAAAAUGAUAUACAACUCUUUUAAUCAUUACCUUGUAACUAUUGUAAAGUUAAGAUUUUAGUGAUUUA